rnacentral:rRNA from 1 species
AAGGAUUCCCCUAGUAACUGCGAGUGAAGCGGGAAAAGCUCAAAUUUAAAAUCUGGCGGUCUCUGGCCGUCCGAGUUGUAAUCUAGAGAAGUGUUAUCCGCGCUGGACCGUGUACAAGUCUCCUGGAAUGGAGCGUCAUAGAGGGUGAGAAUCCCGUCUUUGACACGGACUGCCAGGGCUUUGUGAUGCGCUCUCAAAGAGUCGAGUUGUUUGGGAAUGCAGCUCAAAAUGGGUGGUAAAUUCCAUCUAAAGCUAAAUAUUGGCGAGAGACCGAUAGCGAACAAGUACCGUGAGGGAAAGAUGAAAAGAACUUUGGAAAGAGAGUUAAACAGUACGUGAAAUUGCUGAAAGGGAAACGCUUGAAGUCAGUCGCGUUGGCCGGGAAUCAACCUUGCUUUUGCUGGGCGUACUUUCCGGUUGACGGGUCAGCAUCAAUUUUGACCGUUGGAUAAAGUCCAGGGGAAUGUGGCAUCUUCGGAUGUGUUAUAGCCCUUGGUCGCAUACAACGGUUGGGAUUGAGGAACUCAGCACGCCGCAAGGCCGGGUACUUGUACCACGUUCGUGCUUAGGAUGCUGGCAUAAUGGCUUUAAUCGACCCGUCUUGAAACACGGACCAAGGAGUCUAACAUGCCUGCGAGUGUUUGGGUGGAAAACUCGGACGCGUAAUGAAAGUGAAAGUUGAGAUCCCUGUCGUGGGGAGCAUCGACGCCCGGACCAGACCUUUUGUGACGGAUCCGCGGUAGAGCAUGUAUGUUGGGACCCGAAAGAUGGUGAACUAUGCCUGAAUAGGGUGAAGCCAGAGGAAACUCUGGUGGAGGCUCGUAGCGAUUCUGACGUGCAAAUCGAUCGUCAAAUUUGGGUAUAGGGGCGAAAGACUAAU